rnacentral:rRNA from 1 species
UAUUAUAAUUAAAGUGAAAUUUUACCGGAGUAUUAAUAGUUAUUUUCUUUAAAUUCAAAGAAUUUGGCGGUGUUUUAGUCCUUUUAGAGGAACCUGUUUCGUAAACGAUAAACCACGAAUAUCUUACCUAUUGAAAUGUUUGUAUACCGUCAUUAUUAGAUAACUUUGAUAGAGUUAGUUGUUGUAAUUAAGUGAGUUAAGUAAAUUAGAUCAAGGUGCAGCUUAUAGAUAGGAGAAAAUGGGUUACAAUAAAAAUAAUUUAAAUGGAGUUGUUUUUGAAAUUAAACAAUGAAGGUGGAUUUAAUUGUAAUAUUAAUAAUUAUAGUAAUUUGACAUAGGCUCUAGAAUAU